ensembl:lncRNA
AUGUCAGUGACGCCACGACUGCAACGAGAACUUUUACACCCUUGGAAAAAAACCUGUCUGGCAUGCAUUGGGGGGGGAGAGGAACCCCGUGCCAGCCGGGGUGAUUUGUCAUCUCACUGGCGUGUUAUCAAACGUGACUGUGUGUGUGUACGAAGUCCUCUCAGACCAACGUCCCCACAAACAAUCCCAGCAGGUGUCCCCUUCCUCAAGCGCCGUGCAAGCAAGAGGGUCCGGUGGCCGAUGACCCCUCAAGCACAGCGUCAGGUUUCCGCCCGGGGGGCCCCAGGUAAUAAGACGCCGCUUGCUCGCCGUCAGACACUUGACGUGCUCGCAGAGAGAAGACGCGAGCUCCACGCGGGACUGGACCUCCGGGGUUCAAUACGACCACAUCCGCCCACAGAGGCCACAGAAACCUGCAGCUGGGAUGAAAUACCUGAUGGAAUCAUGACAUCAGCCGAGGAUGAUGAAGAGUUGGAUGAGGCGAUUGACCAAUAUGCCACCGACACCACCUGGAGCUGGGUGCCUUGCUCAUGUACGCGUCUUUGAGUGCGGCCGCAGCGAGGUGUCAGUCUCGACCGUCGACAUCGCACGUGGCGGCGUACGGGCCUGUGAUUGGCCGCAGAGAUCACCUGACUCCCGCAGACUGACUGGGUGACUUCAAACGAUGACGUAGACUCCUGCUGUCUCCCGCCGUGCAGGAACCAGCUGCUGCUGCCGGGUACUACCCCCCCCCCCCCCCCGCCCCCCCACCCCCCCUCGCCCCCCCCCUUGCGACCCCCCCCCCCCCCCGCGCCGGGCCCGGGCGCGCCCCCGCGCCACCCCCCCCCCCCCCCCCCCCCCGCUCCCCCCUCAUGACUCUUAAAGUGUGACGUCACAGCGCGGCGAGGUGGCGCUACAGUGUAGCUGCACGUCACGUACCCACACGCCACACCUGGAGCGCGAGCCCGCGGUGCCACUGUGGCAGCCGAUGCGAUGCGUUUGGCAACGCAACGGCCCGCCGCUGAUUGGUCAGCGGGCGGGUUCUGGUGGAGGUGACGUCACCCGCUCGCCCGCAGGACGCAGCGAGACGAAACAGAGGCGCUCGGGGGGGGAAAUCAGUCCCGCAGUGACUUAAAUAGUCCGGUUUUUCUCUGUGACUCGGUGGCGGGAAGUCAAGACUUUGUCUCUUGUUCAAUGUGUGGUUCAUCUGUCACUCACCGCCGGGGACAACGCGUUAAAGGCCGUCAUCAUCUCAUCACACCGACAGAAGGUACCGUCCUGCACGUCCCAUUUAAACACCAGUAAAUAGGCCUCUGUUGCUCAGGUAAUUUCCCUCUCCACGGUAUGUAAUUGUAAUGUCCUUCCUGAGUGUUCUUAAUGAAAUUGAUCAUUCAUCACGUGUAACUUGCUUGGGUUUUUGUUUUAUUACAUCUCUAUAGGUGGUCAUUUGAUGGGUCAUUUGAUGGGUUGUGUGUUGGUGGCCAUGUGGGACUCGUGGGACUUUCACUGAAAGUGAAAUGUCACAUUUUCCAGAGGUUCCAAACCUGCAGGAGAAGAUUCAGUGCAGCUUGUAAGACAUUAAACUCAUGAUUAAUGCUACAGAGCGACUGAAAAUAGGAUUUUAGCUCCACUCACUGCGCUUAGAAACCAAGAGGAGCGUCAGUGUUCUCAGACAUCGUUCCUCUUUUAUGUUUCAUUUACGUGUCUAUUUUUGGACGAAGCUGCUCUGCUGCAUUUGUUCACAGAAACAAAUAAUUCCCAGCUUUGAGAAUCGCGGUGGGGGUCAUCAGCUCUGCAACCCAACAACUGCAGUGAGAGGUUCCAUUAAUAAUUAAUGACGUUAAGGUCAUCUGUGAGAAGUAUUUCAAGGCUCAGUAACAGAUUCACCGGCUGCUCUAAAAUUAGUGCUCCUGUUCUCCUGUAAGGAACCUGUUCUCCUGUAAGAAGCAUGUUCUCCUGUAAGGAACCUGUUCUCCUGUAAGGAACAUGUUCUCCUCUAAGGAGCCUCCUGUUCUCCUGUAAGAAGCAUGUUCUCCUGUAAGGAGUAUGUUCUCCU